GACACGGAGCGACGGAUUGAGCGCGCAUGUCGGUUCAUGCAAGAUUUUAAGCACACCGACACACCGAAACGUUUCGCUGCCAACC
rnacentral:ribozyme from 1 species